GGCAAGAUGGCCGAGCGGUCUAAGGCGCUACGUUAAGGUUAACCCUUAAUCCUGAGUUAAUUAUCUCAUUGAUUCCGUAGUCCGAAAGGGCGUGGGUUCGAAUCCCACUCUUGUCA
rnacentral:tRNA from 2 species